AUUGAACGCUGGCGGCAUGCCUAACACAUGCAAGUCGAACGGGGCAGCAAUGCCUAGUGGCGGACGGGUGAGGAAUACGUAGGAAUCUGCCCUUAAGUGGGGGAUAACCAGGGGAAACCCUGACUAAUACCGCAUGAUCUCUUCGGAGCAAAGAGGGGGACCGCAAGGCCUCUCGCUUCUGGAUGAGCCUACGUCUGAUUAGCUAGUUGGUAGGGUAAAGGCCUACCAAGGCGACGAUCAGUAAUUGGUCUGAGAGGAUGAUCAGUCACACGGGAACUGAGACAAGGUCCGUACUCCUACGGGAGGAAGAAGUGGGGAAUAUUGGACAAUGGGCGCAAGCCUGAUCCAGCAAUGCCGCGUGUGUGAAGAAGGCCUUCGGGUUUUAAAGCACUUUAGCCUGGAAAGAAAAAACUUUGGUUAACACCCAAAGUCUUGACGGUACCAGGAGAAUAAGCACCGGCUAACUCUGUGCCAGCCGCCGCCGUAAGAC
rnacentral:rRNA from 1 species